CUUUUAUAGGAUAGCACUAAUCCAUUGGCCUUAGAAUCCAAAAACUCAAUAUGUUUG
rnacentral:tRNA from 1 species